rnacentral:rRNA from 1 species
GAUGAACGCUGGCGGCGUGCCUAAUACAUGCAAGUCGAGCGAACGGACGAGAAGCUUGCUUCUCUGAUGUUAGCGGCGGACGGGUGAGUAACACGUGGAUAACCUACCUAUAAGACUGGGAUAACUUCGGGAAACCGGAGCUAAUACCGGAUAAUAUUUUGAACCGCAUGGUUCAAAAGUGAAAGACGGUCUUGCUGUCACUUAUAGAUGGAUCCGCGCUGCAUUAGCUAGUUGGUAAGGUAACGGCUUACCAAGGCAACGAUGCAUAGCCGACCUGAGAGGGUGGAUCGCCCCCCUGGGACCGGGAACCCGUCCCGAACCCUAACGGGAGCAGCCGUAAGGGAUCCUCCGGAAAGGGGCAAAGGCCUGAGGGGCAAACGCCGCGUGAGUGAUGAAGGUCUUCGGAUCGUAAAACUCUGUUAUUAGGGAAGAACAUAUGUGUAAGUAACUGUGCACAUCUUGACGGUACCUAAUCAGAAAGCCACGGCUAACUACGUG